rnacentral:rRNA from 1 species
CACGUAGGCACCAAGCGUUGUCCGGAUUUAUUGGGCGUAAAGCGCUCGUAGGCGGUUCAGUAAGUCGGGUGUGAAAACUCUGGGCUCAACCCAGAGACGCCACCCGAUACUGCUGUGACUUGAGUACGGUAGGGGAGUGGGGAAUUCCUGGUGUAGCGGUGAAAUGCGCAGAUAUCAGGAGGAACACCAGUGGCGAAGGCGCCACUCUGGGCCGUAACUGACGCUGAGGAGCGAAAGCGUGGGUAGCAAACAGG